CUUAGACUUCUAACUUUAUGUCUUCUGUGUAAGAGGCUAGGCCCAACCUAUCUCUUGAAGUGUUUAAGAUCUUUUCUCCACAAUCCAUCCUCUUAUCUCUUGAUGCAACAGGUACCAAGGAGAAGAGCCUGCCCUCCAGGGGAUUGUAAGAUUCUCCAGUGGGAUGCAGUGAGAAAAUAUUGAAUUUCUAUUGGAAGCUACUAGAUAAUGUCUUACUGGGAGUUUUGGUGACCUUUAUGCCAAUUAUCUGAUGCUGAAUGCAAAAGUUAACAAGAUAUAUUUUCUGUAAAAGAGACUGGGAGUUGUAGAUACCAACGCCUCCCUACAAUUUCAGUUAUAUUUCAUCUUCUCAGAAGUUUGCUAAAUGUAGCUUCAAGCAGCUCACUCUGGUAACGUUGAUUAAUGCUGUGAUGAGCAACUAAGGAUGAGGAGGAUCAAAACAGAAAAGAUUUGCUAAAGCACCAGUGGGUAAUUCAGAGGAAACCAAACAGUAAA